UCCCUCUUAGCUCAGUUGGUAGAGCGCGUCACUAGUAUGAGAGGUAUAGAAUGUUUGCCUAAUGACGAGGUCAGUCGUUCAAGUCGGCUAGAGGGAA